rnacentral:rRNA from 1 species
UACAGAGGUCCCAAGCGUUGCUCGGAUUCACUGGGCGUAAAGGGUGCGUAGGUGGUCGGGUAAGUCUGAUGUGAAAUCUCCGAGCUUAACUCGGAAAUGGCAUUGGAUACUAUUCGGCUAGAGGGUUUGAGGGGGGACUGGAAUACUUGGUGUAGCAGUGAAAUGCGUAGAUAUCAAGUGGAACACCAGUGGCGAAGGCGAGUCCCUGGAAAACUCCUGACACUGAGGCACGAAAGCUAGGGGAGCAAACAGG